rnacentral:rRNA from 1 species
GACGAACGCUGGCGGCGUGCUUAACACAUGCAAGUCGAACGGUGAAGCGCCUUCCUUUUUGGUGGGUGUGGAUGAGUGGCGAACGGGUGAGUAACACGUGAGUAACCUGCCCCCUUCUUCUGGAUAACCGCAUGAAAGUGUGGCUAAUACGGGAUAUUCUGGGUCUGUCGCAUGAUGGGUCUGGGAAAGAUAUUGUUUCGGUGGGGGAUGGGCUCGCGGCCUAUCAGCUUGUUGGUGGGGUGAUGGCCUACCAAGGCGGUGACGGGUAGCCGGCCUGAGAGGGUGGACGGUCACACUGGGACUGAGACACGGCCCAGACUCCUACGGGAGGCAGCAGUGGGGAAGAUUGCACAAUGGGCGCAAGCCUGAUGCAGCGACGCCGCGUGAGGGAUGGAGGCCUUCGGGUUGUGAACCUCUUUCGCCAGUGAAGCAGGCCUGCCUCGUUUGUGGGUGGGUUGACGGUAGCUGGAUAAGAAGCGCCGGCUAACUAC